GACGAACGCUGGCGGCGUGCUUAACACAUGCAAGUCGUACGGUAAGGCCCUUUCGGGGGUACACGAGUGGCGAACGGGUGAGUAACACGUGCGUAACCUUCCCACAACUUUGGGAUAACGCUAGGAAACUGGUGCUAAUACUGGUUCUGUGUCCCUGCUUCAUGGGGGGGGUUGGAAAGCUCCGGCGGUUGUGGAUGGACUCGCGGCCUAUCAGCUUGUUGGUGGGGUAGUGGGCUACCAAGGCGGCGACGGGUAGCCGGCCUGUGAGGGUGACCGGCCACAUUGGGACUGAGAUACGGCACAGACUCCUACGGGAGGCAGCAGUGGGGAAUAUUGAACGAUGGGCGCAAGCCUGAUGCAGCAACGCCGCGUGCGGGAUGACGGUCUUCGGGUUGUAAACCGAUUUCAGCAGGGACGAAGCUUUUUGUGACGGUACCUGAAGAAGAAGCACCGGCUAACUACGUG
rnacentral:rRNA from 1 species